ACUCCAUGGCAUUCCUGAACUGAACCGCCGGGAAACACGCAAGGGAAGAAGAGAAACAACCGUCAGUCACGGUCAAUACUCUACGUGCCAAAAUUAGCAGAUGCAUCGCAAGCGUACGUGCAUUCGUUUGGUAGAGCAACCACCAUUUAGGCAGAGGUAACAUGUCCAUUUUUCACACUAACUGCGCGCUAGGUACAGUACUAGCCAUGCUACACCGAUGGAGCGCCCAGUAGCAGCGCAGUAGGGCACUGCUGUGAACUGGCUGGCCCAGGCGGCUAGCUAGCCGCUGCUGCUGCCACUAGCUGCAGCAUGCAGGGGCAGCUACUCUGCGUCAGUCCGUCGGGGUGCGUGUGGGUGUGGGGCGGCUGACGGCGGGUCCCGCGCGCGCGUACGUGCCUCCCGGAGCGGGACGCGCAGGCCGUGGCUAGUAGCGCCGGCACGUCGAGCCCCACCACCGCACCGCACCACACCACCCCACGGUGGAUACGUAAAAUCCGGGGGAGUACGUCUUCCGAUGCAGGCCAGCCAGCCGCGGUCGCCUUCCCGCCGAGACCGGCCCGGCCCGGGGGCAGCCCCGUCAUUUCGGCCUCCGCUCCCCGUGCUGUACCGCCGCUGCCGCAGAUCUAGGCGCCCUAUUUAAUUUCGUCUAAGCCGCUCACUGUCACAGUGGAGGGUUGGGAGGGAAAGGAGAGGGAAGCCGAACCAGUUCGUCCGUUCGUUCCGGCCGUGUGGAUUGGACGUUUCAAAAGAAGAAAUCGCGAGCCUAGCUACAGAAAGGGCACCAGUUAUAUAGAGAGAAAGGAAGGAACUGCACCGUCUCGAGACCUUUGAGAGCGUGUGUCGAGCGGAGGAAGACGAGGAGCAGAGCGGGCAGGCAGGUGAGGCCGGCGAAGUUCACAGCCAGCUCUGGUGCUUGCUUUGGUGAUAUUCAUCAAGCUCUCGUCCAUGCCGCUUUGGUGGUGUCUCGUCUGCCCGCCCCCUGCUGCGUGCAUGUGCGUAUGAUCGUUUGGGCUAAAGCGAGGAGGUAGCAGGAACCAGGCAGCUGGGGAGCGCAUCGCAUGGAGGAGAGAGUGAAAAGAGGAAGAGCAGAAGGUGAGGGCGAAGAAGCGACCCUAACGGAAAGGAGCCCGCUUGGCCCGCUGCUGGGCCCGCCCCUGAGCUGAGCGGGAGGGAGGGAGGGCGGGGUGGGAGGAGGAGGAGGCGGAGGAUCUCCUCUCACGUCAAAGGUGGGGGAAAGCAUAAAGGGGCGAGGAAGGAGGAAGAGAAGGUGGUGGAGUGGAGAAAGCGAGCUGCAGAGAGGAAAGGCACCAAGCUUCAGUGAGUGAGCAAGGGAUAGAGUGUGAGUGAGUGUGGGAGUGAGCGAGUGAUACCUCUCCCCCAUAUAGCUGAGGCAGAGCAUCCGGUUCUUCCACCACCACCACCGCAUUGCUCCUCUCACUCCCCACCACAGCCAGUCAGUGUUCUGGUGAAGUUGAAAGAGGAGGAGGCGCCGGCCAGUCAUGGCAUUGCAGGAGCAGGAAGAAGACGAGGAAGAUGAAGAUGAAGGGGAAGACGGUGAGGAGGAUGGGAUCAUGACGAGGAGGGUGCUGUGGGGGAGGAGCUGCCGCUGAUUUCCUCCCCUGACCCGACCCGAGGCGCGCUGCCUGCUCCGGAGUAGUAGUAAGAUAUUGGCACAAUAGGCUCAAUCACUUUUUCUUUCCCUUGUUUUGCUGUUUUUGCGCUCCUUUCCCCGUUCAGUCAAUUGAUGAUUGCAUACUCUUCCCCGUGUAAUUUCUUUUCCUCCCUGUCCCUUCUGAUCUGUUGUUCUUGGUGGUUUCCCCGAUUCGGAAUGCAAAACGCUUUCGCAAA